rnacentral:rRNA from 1 species
CACGAAGUUAGCCGGGGCUUCUUCUUCAGGUACCGUCAUUAUCUUCCCUGACGAAAGAGCUUUACAACCCUAAGGCCUUCAUCACUCACGCGGCAUGGCUGGAUCAGGGUUUGCCCCCGAUUGUCCAAUAUUCCCCACUGCUGCCUCCCGUAGGAGUCUGGGCCGUGUCUCAGUCCCAGUGUGGCUGAUCAUCCUCUCAGACCAGCUACUGAUCGUCGCCUUGGUGAGCCGUUACCUCACCAACUAGCUAAUCAGACGCGGGCCAAUCCUUUGGCGAUAAACUCUUUCCCCCCGGAAGGGCUCAUCCGGUAUUAGCUGAAAUUUCUCUCAGUUAUUCCGAACCAAAGGGUAUGUUCCCACGCGUUACUCACCCGUCUGCCACUCCCGUAUUGCUACGAGCGUUCGACUUGCAUGUGUUAAGCCUGCCGCCAGCGUCGUUCUGAGUCACGGAGUCAACUC